rnacentral:lncRNA from 1 species
GGGGCCUGGAAAGUCUCCAGACUUCAGCCUCUAAAGAAAUAAGGGACUUCCUCGCCGAGGGGUCUUCACAAAAGAGUGAUCCACGGUGGUUAGAUGCCUGAAAUGUCCUGUAAGGUGGGUGCCUGGGACUUACUGCUGUCUGACGUCUGUUGUGUUCACCUCGUGCCUCCUGAAGUGUGGAAGGAUCCAGAGCCCUCGCAGAAACUUCUGGCAGCUGAGCUAGAAGUUUCUCUCGAACUGCAACACGGCCCACAGGGCCCCUUCACUACUGCCGGCCGGGCUGGGCUGGAGUGCCUUGCCCAGGAGAGGCUGCCCAGUGUGCCUGGGCCCCAACCCCCACAGACCAGGAGCUCUGCAAUUCUCCUGGAGAGCGAGCCCAACUGUGUCGAUUGCAACAAGAGC